rnacentral:tRNA from 1 species
UGGCUCAGUGGUAGAGUGCUUGCCUUGCAUGCAUGAGGCCCUGGGUUCGAUUCCUUG